AGGACGAACGCUGGCGGCGCGCUUAACACAUGCAAGUCGAGCGAGAACCGGACCUUCGGGUCCGGGGACAGCGGCGAACGGGUGAGUAACACGUGAGUAAUCCACCCUUGGCACCGGAAUAGCCCGGGGAAACCCGGAUUAAUGCCGGAUGGCCCGACAGCCUCUCGGGGCGGUCGGAAAAGAUAGCUUCGGCCUUCGGCCAAGGACGAGCUCGCGGCGGAUUAGCUUGUUGGCGGGGUAACGGCCCACCAAGGCGACGAUCCGUAGCUGGUCUGAGAGGACGAUCAGCCACACUGGGACUGAGACACGGCCCAGACUCCUACGGGAGGCAGCAGUGGGGAAUCUUGCGCAAUGGGCGAAAGCCUGACGCAGCGACGCCGCGUGAGGGAAGAAGGCCUUCGGGUUGUAAACCUCUUUCAGGAGGGACGAAGCCACUCGGGUUAAUAGCCCAGAGGGUGACGGUACCUCCAGAAGAAGCCCGGCUAACUACGUGCCAGCAGCCGC
rnacentral:rRNA from 1 species